rnacentral:rRNA from 1 species
UACAGAGGGUGCGAGCGUUGUUCGGAAUUAUUGGGCGUAAAGCGCUUGUAGGCGGCUUGUUAAGUUCCGUGUGAAAUCCCCAGGCUUAACCGUGGAACUGCUCGGUAUACUGGCGGUCUUGAGCAACCUAGGGGCGAGCGGAACAAAUGGUGGAGCGGUGAAAUGGCGUAGAUAUCAUUUGGAACGCCAAUGGUGAAACAGCUCGCUGGGGGUUUGCUGACGCUGAGACACGAAAGCCAGGGGAGCAAACGGG